rnacentral:rRNA from 1 species
CCUACGGGAGGCAGCAGUGGGGAAUAUUGGACAAUGGGGGGAACCCUGAUCCAGCCAUGCCGCGUGUGUGAAGAAGGCCCUCGGGUUGUAAAGCACUUUCAGUGAGGAAGAACGCCUGGUGGUUAAUACCCAUCAGGAAAGACAUCACUCACAGAAGAAGCACCGGCUAACUCCGUGCCAGCAGCCGCGGUAAUACGGAGGGUGCGAGCGUUAAUCGGAAUUACUGGGCGUAAAGCGCGCGUAGGUGGCUUGAUAAGCCGGUUGUGAAAGCCCCGGGCUCAACCUGGGAACGGCAUCCGGAACUGUCAAGCUAGAGUGCAGGAGAGGAAGGUAGAAUUCCCGGUGUAGCGGUGAAAUGCGUAGAGAUCGGGAGGAAUACCAGUGGCGAAGGCGGCCUUCUGGACUGAAACUGACACUGAGGUGCGAAAGCGUGGGUAGCAAACAGGAUUAGAUACCCGAGUAGUC